rnacentral:rRNA from 1 species
CAGUCGCCGCGGUAAUACGAAGGGGGCUAGCGUUGUUCGGAAUUACUGGGCGUAAAGCGCACGUAGGCGGAUAUUUAAGUCAGGGGUGAAAUCCCAGAGCUCAACUCUGGAACUGCCUUUGAUACUGGGUAUCUCGAGUAUGGAAGAGGUGAGUGGAAUUCCGAGUGUAGAGGUGAAAUUCGUAGAUAUUCGGAGGAACACCAGUGGCGAAGGCGGCUCACUGGUCCAUUACUGACGCUGAGGUGCGAAAGCGUGGGGAGCAAACAGGAUUAGAGACCCCUGUAGUCCCUGUCUCUUAUAA